rnacentral:lncRNA from 1 species
CGAGGAGAUCCCAAUAUCGCUUCGUCUUUCUGGUCCCGCACGGAGUUCCGGACGAUCCUGAAUUUUCCUGGCUGUUGCAUAUGGACAGCAGACGAGGCAGGGUCAGCCGAUGCACCGAAGUGCCGUGAGCGCGGCCGAGCCGAAGGUAUGUGGCGAGCGCUCUCCACCUCCAUCACCUUGAGGAGUAGACCAGAAGGGUUGUGCCCCCUUCUACUCCUGGGGAAGGUUUAAAGCAUGAUGCAGACAUCAUUCCUCCUUGCUCCUACCUUCAUGCUUCUGUAGCCAUGAGAGCCACAAUCCUAAAAACAUCUUUAAUAACACAAAUAGCCUCACAGGAGAGUAAAUAUUGUCUUAAUCUUGUAAUGAAAUGAGGAACAUGGGCAUCCAACGUUUGUACAGCAUGGUGUUUGUGUGCUUUGCAGAGUGAUGUAGAAAGUGUUUCGGGGAACUUUCUGUUUUUAAAUCAUAAAAAUCUGCUAGCUGAACUAUCAAAAUAUCGGGUGUACCAUGCACUUUGUUUUGCACUCUUAGACUCCCUACCACUGGCAG